AAAAAUUACCUUUUCCUUUUCUUUCUAUAGGUAGACUGGCGGCGUUCAUUCAUCACCACGGAUGUGAAUCCUUACUAUGAUUCUUUUGUCAGGUGGCAGUUUUUAACAUUAAGAGAAAGAAACAAAAUAAAAUUUGGGAAGCGGUACACCAUCUAUUCUCCAAAAGAUGGACAACCUUGCAUGGAUCAUGACAGACAAACUGGAGAGGGUGUUGGACCUCAGGAAUAUACCCUAGUUAAACUGAAGGUGCUUGAACCG